CAUCACAAACGCAGCGGCAGCGCGCGGAGGGAACUCAAAGCCUGACUGGUUCUUCCUUAAGCUGGACGCGAGCUGGUUGGCAACCGGCCUUCAGUGGGUGGCCUUCAGUUAGUGCCUUCAGUGGGUGCCUCAAGGUGGUGGCAUUUGGUUGCCUUUGCUGGGGAGAGGCGGCAGGUGCUAGCUCUGCAGCCGUGGGGGCAAGCGAAGGCCCGAGCUGCCCGAGAAGAGCGGAGGUGCCCCAUGGGGACCACGCUGACCUGUCGCAUGUGCACCAAAGCCAGCCCCUGGCAGGGCCGGCGGGGGGUUCUGCGGGGCCAUCCUGUGGCUCUGACAUCUGUGAGUGGGCGGCCAGCAAAGGCACAGGCCCCAGCAGAGAGGAGCAGAGACGCCCAGAACACGCUGGUCCCAUGUCAGCCCCAAGCGGGGCCAGCUGGGGUGCGGUGGGCAGAGCCUUCCUGCAGCUCUGAGAUCCAUGAGGUGCAGGUGGGAGUAGCGCCAGGCUCCACUGCGUUGGUGCCCACCCAGUCCGAUUCCGGAGCCGUGACUGGCAGCGCCCUGGCGACCAGAAGAGCCCAAAGAUGCUGCAUACUGGAUGGAUUGGUUUGUGGUUCCUGGGAUCUUCUGUGUAUUCUGUCAAAGCUCAAUAAUCACAUUACUGCAGACCUUCAAAAUUUUACAAAGGACUGCAUACUCUUUGUCCUGGGCAGAGCUUGCUGCACCUUCCAGUUGCAGUAA
rnacentral:lncRNA from 1 species